rnacentral:rRNA from 1 species
UACGUAGGGGGCAAGCGUUGUCCGGAAUCAUUGGGCGUAAAGCGCGUGUAGGCGGCCAGAAAAGUCCGCUGUGAAAACUCGAGGCUCAACUUCGAGCUGUCGGUGGAAACCUUCUGGCUAGAGUCCGGAAGAGGAGAAUGGAAUUCCUGGUGUAGCGGUGAAAUGCGCAGAUAUCAGGAAGAACACCCGUGGCGAAGGCGGUUCUCUGGGACGGUACUGACGCUGAGACGCGAAAGCGUGGGGAGCGAACAGG